rnacentral:rRNA from 1 species
AGCGAACGCUGGCGGCAGGCCUAACACAUGCAAGUCGAACGAACCUUUCGGGGUUAGUGGUGGACGGGUGAGUAACACGUGGGAACGUGCCUUUAGGUUCGGAAUAACUCAGGGAAACUUGUGCUAAUACCGAAUGUGCCCUUCGGGGGAAAGAUUUAUCGCCUUUAGAGCGGCCCGCGUCUGAUUAGCUAGUUGGUUGAGGUAAUGGCUCACCAAGGCGACGAUCAGUAGCUGGUCUGAGAGGAUGAUCAGCCACAUUGGGACUGAGACACGGCCCAAACUCCUACGGGAGGCAGCAGUGGGGAAUCUUGCGCAAUGGGCGAAAGCCUGACGCAGCCAUGCCGCGUGAAUGAUGAAGGUCUUAGGAUUGUAAAAUUCUUUCACCGGGGACGAUAAUGACGGUACCCGGAGAAGAAGCCCCGGCUAACUUCGUG